UCACUGCUCUGCCUGUCCCCACCUGCUGUUUGACGGUGGCUUUGUGUGGCGUUCAAAGAACCUUCUCAGCCUAGGGCUGUCGCUGAGGGGGAGAGGGGUCGCUUGGCAUCCAUGGUUCUAGUCUCAGCAGUGCAAAACAAGCAAGCAAGCAAACAAACAAAAUGGAUCUCAUAUUGUAUCUGUAAGGCAUAGAUGAGAAAUGGCCACUUUGGUGUUAAAAACAGUCUGGGUAGCUGGCUAGUGUUUAAAUAAUGAACGGUGGAAGAAAGAAUCAUAUCCUUGUAGCUUGGAAACAUUCUGUUCUUCACAGCAUGGUGUCAUCAUCAUCAUCAUCAUCAUCAUCCAUGACAAGGACUUUGCAGAAUCGUAGACAUUUUUAGAUAGAUAAAAAACCUUGGAGGAUAUUUUAACUCUUAUCACUCUGAGGACAGACGCCAUCCUCAUCCAGAGUUAUUAGUGAGAACCACAAAGGCUUUGUCAUGGGGUCUUGUUUAUCCCCUAAAAAGUGUCUAGAGCACUAACCUCUGAUCUGUGGGCCACACCUGCAUUUUGGAGGCGGGUGGCAUGCCUCUGAGAGGAGAAAGCAGGAGACGUAGAAAAACUGUGAUCGAUCCAUCAGGACUUAGCCUGUCUCCAGGAGAGGCAGUGUUAAAUUUCCUACCCACUCAGGUUAACUGGGUCUUCCUUUGGGAAGCAUUUCAUGCCCUCUUUUUAGUCGAUCAACUCCCGGUAUCCCUUUGUGUGUCUGAGAGCUUGCUCCAUUCACCCCACUGAGCCUCAAGGGCUAUGAUUGUGCAGGGAGGUGUCCUCCUUAAACUGUGUCUCCCGAGCAUGUGUCUAGCAAGUCUCUAGCACUUGGUUGGGAAGAGCAGAAACCUCCCGGUCCACACUCUUUUGGGAAGUCAGUGACUUUGAGCACAUGAUUGUCUCCUAGAGCAGACAGGGCAGAAGAGGGGUCUGAGAGUCGAGUGUUUGAUUUGUUCAUUCCGGUCAUUUGGUUAAUUUUUCAGAGGCCAGUAGCCAAGGCAGAGGACCUUCCACGUGGUCCUUGGGUGGUAGGGGUGGUCCAGCACAGUGUCUUAUAGCCAUGGUUAUGAUGGUAUGACUUUAGAUCCAGAGGGAUGCUGCUUAAUAGUCAUUCAGAGGUGUGCAUAACAUAAAUUCAUCCUAUUUGUGUUUAAAACUACCCUGUCCAUCACACCAGGUACCAUCACUAAGGAUAGGGUGUUCUUAUUUCAUGAUCUUUGCGGUUGAAGUCUACUCUGUAAAGGGAAUGCACAGUAACUGUGUUCUGAAAAUUGUCUAACAUUUCAUGUGCUUUGAAUCUUUCUCCUAGGUUUCGUUUGAGUAACUCACCAGUUUAGACUAGCUAGUGACUUUUACACAUACUUUCAGACACAGCGCCUCAAUCAACUCAUUUGUGGAGAGCUUUUGAAAACCAAAUUUAUGCUGGCAGGUAGUGGCCCAUGCCUUUGAUCCCCAAGGUCAGCCUGGUCUACAGAGUAAGUUCCAAGGACAGCCAGGGCUACACAGAGAAACUCUUGUCUUAAGGGGUGAGGUGGGGAAAGAAGGAAGGAAGGAAGGAAGGAAGGAAGGAAGGAAGGAAGGAAGGAAGGAAGGCCGGCCAAAUUUAUUAGUUAAAUUUCUGAUCACCAAUACUUGACUGGAAGGAACUUAGGGAAGGAGUUUACUUGGCCCUACAGUUGAGAGGGUGCAGUCCAUCCUGGUGAGGACGGCCCUGGGGGUGGGAACAGCUUAAGGCUGGAGCAGUAGUUUGAGGUGCCUGGUGUCUGCAGUCAGGAAGCCAGAGCCAGGACCCAGACUGCCCCAGCAGCCCUAUGUCUGCUAUCUAGACCUCAUGUCCAGAAGGUUCCACACCCAGUCAGAAGAGCACCACUCCCGACUGUCUAAAUAAAUGAGUCUGGGAGGGGGAGUCUCUUCCCUUUCAAAACCAUAACACCAAAGUAUUUAAAACCCUAUAAAUUUAUAUGAGUACAAAUAUGUGUUUGUGCUUAGCACCGAUACCUGAGGAGUUAGAUCCAUGGUUCUCAACCUUUCCAGUGCUGUGGCCCUUUGAUACAGUUCACCAUGUUGUGGUGACCCCAACCAUAAAAUUAUUUCACUUGCACUUCACAACUGUGAUUUUGCUACUGUUACGAAUCGUAGUGUAAAUAUUUUUAGAGAUUGAGGCUUACCAAAGGGGUUGUGACCACAGGUUGGGAAUGGUUAGAUUAGCGGGAAGAGCCAUGGGAGCUUUGCCCUUCCUUGCUCAGGCUCCAGAAAGAUACUACCAAGGAUUGAUUUUGUCCUGUUUGUACAAGGCAUAAAUAAAGCUGCUUCUGACAGGUCUUACCUCCUUAUCUUACUUUUCUUUUAAAAUUAACCAAAGCGAUUGAGGUCCUUCCAUCUCCCUUGACUUCCUUCAUUUCCUGGUUCACAUCCCUGCAGGAGCCUGCGGUAUUGACCUUGGGACUGCAGGAGCCUGUGGUGUUGACCUUGGGACAGCUGUUGAGGGAUUGACUCCUGGCGUGGUAGAAGGGCCCUGGUCUGUUCUUACGGGGCAUCAGCCUGAGCUCAUGGCAUCAGCACAGAGCUCCCUAUUACUGACCAGUGUCCAGACCUUCUGCCAGCACAGCCUGCUUUCGGAGGGUGCAGGAUGCCUAGGUUAAAGGCAGGACCGAUAUUUGUCUAGAGUUAGCCUUGGCUUGAAAAGGUAGACGGGAAAGACAAGUUCUCCAGGAAGCACCUACGUCCAAGACCUUUCUCUUGGUUACAGAAGCAUCCCCUUCCAGAGUAGGUUGGAACAUUGUUUAAGGAGUGUAAUUCUGAACACACAAACUCCCUCUAACUUGAAUGUGACAAAUGAUUUGGGACCAAGGAAUUCAGUUCCCCUUAGGUUUUGGGUUUUUGUUGUUGUUGUUUUGUCUUGUUUUUUAACCAGUGUCUUCCCUCUGAUUACAUUCUGGUCUGUGUUCAUGCCAUUUUAGCAAACUGAUCUCACACAGAUUUGUCCAUGUGUGGCAUUCAGCACCUCUCAGAUGUGUCCUGCCAUCAGACCCUCUCAAUGACAUGGAGGACAAACUCAUUUUUUCCUGUCAUCUUUAAGGACUGGGAAGCUGGGCAUGAGACUAAGCCAGGCUAACAGUUGAGAGUGGGUCCCUUCUUGUCCCUGGGGAGAAGUGGAGAAGGAGUGUUCUCAGGGUAAAGGGGAGAGCAGAACAGCAGGAGGCUAGCCCAGGGGAGGAUUGUUAGCAGAGUACCCCUGCCUGCCAGUGGCCUUCAGUUCCUGCGUGUCUAUUUCUAAUCUUUCUGGUGGAAGCUGCCAUCCUCUGAUGAUCUUUCCCUGAGCCACAUUUCCGGAAUGGCUUCACUUGUGUUUGAAGCCGAGGGUGGGUAGGAAAUGGCUAUUGUGGGUAAAAAACUUCUCCUGGGACUUUGAAGAUUUUUUUCAUAGGAGGAAGCCAUCUCCAGGCUCCACAAACAGUCGCCUCUGCUGGAAGGUGCAGGUAGCUCGUUCACAGUGCCAGCAUCGCCCAGUAGCCGACUCUGGCAGCUGCUUAGGACUAUCCCGCACAUCCAAACAGAGCCUCUUACCCAGAUAGGCAAGGAGCAGAUGAAAGGCGGGCAUUCAAAGUAAAGAGUCAGAGGGUUUCUCCUCCUCUUAGCAUUAGAGUCAGCUUCUAAGUCUGAUUUAAAUAAUUGACCUGAAGGUACAUCACAGAGGCUCCUGUGAUGUUUGGAGGAGGGCUGCUAGCCUAGAUGAUGCAUAUCCUAUUCACUUAGCAACGUGUGGUCAAUAUUUACCUAGCAAUUCAAGUAGUGUUUGCUUUUAGUGAAACAAGCAGGCCAAAGCUCAGUGAGGAGCAAUGAGAAGACUCUGGAGGGUGAUUGAGAUCUCCAUUUUCCUCAGAAUAAAAAAUUCAGAGAACAAAGCACACAAAAACAUCCAUAAUUCUUCUAAUCUAAUUGCUGUUUGAAUGAGCGUCUCUGGGCUCUUGUGUAUAUUUGCCCUCAACUAAAUCAGGAUGAUAUAAUGUCUCUGUCAGUCUGUCCAUCUGUUUCUCCCUUCCUCGCCCACCCACAGUGUGUGUGUGUGUGAGUGUGUGUGUGUGUGUGUGUGCGCGUGCGCGUGCGCGCGCACGUACGUGGGCAUGUUGCGGGGGAAUUGACCUCUAUGUGCUAGGCAAGUCCUUUACCACUGAGCCAGAGACAUACAUUGUGGUCCCAAAUGGUAACUUGUUUAAACUGUGGCACUGCCAUGCUGUUACCUACCCUCUGGCUUGUGGGUAAGUUUUCUUGUCUAUCAUUAAGCUAAAUCCUUGGUUUAUGAGCCUGGGUCUGAUACUACCAGCUCACGCUGGCCUUGAACCUAAUGUGUACCCCAGUGUUCACUAUCUCGCACCAUCCUUCCAAGUGCUCAGAUUAUAAGGAUAUAAAGAAAUGUAAACUAGGGUUCAAGCCUCGGUCCAGGGACCCCAGACAAAGUGUAGCCCCUCUGAGCGUACUUCCUUCUACUCCCAGGGACCAAGCAGACCUCUCUCUCUCACUCCUUAGCAUGAACCUCCUGUGGUCCUGGCACCCCUGCUCUCAAUCCCCAGAAAACAGAAUAUGCCGGAGACAGAGGACAGUCCUGUGUCCAAGGGGAAUGGGGAAGCUAGGCAAAGUUUCUUAGACUCUGGUGCAGUUUAAGAUUUUGUUAUGAAUUAUUUUAGUGGGCUGGGGAGAAUGUAGCACAAGGAAAUAUGCUAAGCAGGGGGAGGGGGAGGCUUCAUCUGUCUGUCUGUCCUCUCUGACCCCUGCUGUGGAACAAGCAGACACUGUUUCUCCUUUUAGUACUUUAGGGGUAACCAUUUGCAUGUAGUAAAGUAUAAGACCCUGAGUCUACAGCACAGUACCCUCGUGUUUGACUUAUAAGCACCACUCCCUUGAGCUUUUAUGAGAGUGUCCCACAUUGCCUCCCUGCCUCUGACCCACCCAGUUGUCAUAAUAGUACUCGGGUUGGCUUCCUCAAGCCGGUCAUCACUCAAGCCCAAACUUACUUGUCCAUCCUCAUCUCUGACAACACUCUCGUAGCCCAGGAAGGGCCUGCCCACAAGACUGUCAUCCACCAUCUUUGGAUGAGUGUGUGUGAGAGGUGUGUGUGUGUGUGUAUGUGUGUGUGUGUGUCUGUGGGUGGGUGUGUGUCUGUGGGUGGGUGUGUGUCUGUGGGGGUGUGUGUGUCUGUGUGUGUGUGCACACGAACGUGCUUAUACUCUUGCUUCUCUGUGCAUAUGGAGGCCAAAUGUCAAUAUCCAGUGUCUUCCUUGGUCACUCUCCACCUUUAUUUUUUGAGACCGAUGUCUUGCUGAAUCUGGAGUUUUAUCAAUUCAGCUAGGCUGCUUGACCAACAAUCACUAGAAUCAACUGGUCCUGGUCCCUCACUGCAUGCCGCCCCACCCCACCCCACCCCCACCUCUAAUGGGUUAUGGCCGCUUCCGUGACUUGGCUUUUGUGUGGAUGUAGGGGAUCCAAACUGAAGUCCUUAGGCUUGUAUGACAGGCUCUUGACACACUGAGUUGCCUCCCUAUUAUAUAUUAUAACUAUAUAUUAACUAAAUAGCUAUUAUUAUAACUAUUUAUAACUACAUAAAGCAAAAUAACUCUUAUAACAAAAUCAUAAGCUUUAUCAGAGUCCAAAAAAGAAAGCCCGUUCUUAUCUUACCCACUCCCUUUUAGCCAGAAUGAGCCCUUCCCCUGUGUCCAGCAGACAGCUUCUGUCUCCAUUGGGUGCUUCUCAUCUGCUUUGUGAGAAUUUGCCUUCAUCUCUCUGCUGGAGGAUAUGCACCCCAGGUAGAGUGCCACAUGCCUGACAAGACGGAGCAGGACUCCUGGGGUUUCUCAGCCUUAAGUCUGGUUCAUUCUGUCUUUCAUUUUACCCAUAAGCAAGUGUAGGUGAGAGAUGUUUAGAUUUUGGCAAAUGCCAUCUGUGUUAGCCAAGAGAAACCAACAAACUUCAUUAGCUCCAGUUGGUUCAGCGACCCCCGGUGGGGGUCAGUUGUCCCUUUAGCACUGACAAAGCUGUUUGUCAAGAAGGCCCUGACCUGUCUCUGGAAGAUGUGUUUUGUUAAAUGAGUUUUCUGGUCUUAAAUUAGUCGGGGAAACCCCAGAUGCCUAAUUGUUCCCAGGCUCUCCCUGGGGCCCUGGCUGGUCUCUGCUGGCAGGUGCUGUUGGAAAGUGAACAGGGGCAGCAGGUGGCACUUAUUGUUACAAUGUGUACCUUUCCCUGUGGGAAACCAGGCUGUGCCUUCUCACUUACUGGCGGGCAUGUCUGUGCGUGUGUGUUCUAGCUGAAGAUGAAGGGAUUUAGGGGAAGCAUGCCAGACAGACAGACAAGCGUGCAAUAGAGCUGCUCUCUUCACUGGAUGUAAGAGACAGCUAGGUUCCCCUUUCAGAUCUAGUAAGGGAAGGCAAUGUGACCAAGUCCUAGCCAUGUGUAUGGCUUCCUCAGAGACAAAAAUAGAAUGGCUUUCUCCUGCCACCAGCUGUCACCUGUGCUACCUAGAACUGAGUGUUAUUAUUCACAGUGGGUUUGAGAAAUGCCCAAAACUUGACGUGAUGUUCACACCCAUUCUAACACCAUGCCAAGCACAACAGUUGGCUGUCCUGCGCCCUCGUGUCCUCUCGGAACACUGCUUCGGGGAAGCCACAUCACAGUCACAAGCUGACGGCCAAGGCCUGGUGGUUCUUCAGGAGAUCACCUUGGGUCACCACUGGUUUUCCCCAUUGCUCUCCCUCAGCAGAGCUCAGGCCCUGAGCAGCCAGGCUCCCACUGAAUCAUUCUCAGCCCUAGUUAGCCUGUGGUUUUAGUUCCUUGCCAUGGUCAUCUCGUUGCUGACUCUAAACAUUAGAGGAUCUCCUUCUUCGGACUUAGCUGUUGGCUGGGGAUAGGGGGUGGGGGGCUCUUAAGUCAGUAAAGAUGUUUACAUUGUAGACAUUUUGUAGAGGCAUUUUUGAAAAUUGAUUUCAUUGUGACUAGGACUGUGGCUAUUCUCCUCCUACACACUGGCUCACUUUCUUCAAUAUUCCUAAUGAGGCAGAGAAAAACUGCUUUUCAUUUUUCUCUCAAACAAUAUUGAUUCUUAGUGGAGAUUUCAUUAUCUGUGUCUGUCUGUCUGUCUACGUGAAGGUAUGGUGGUCAUGUACAAGUACCCAACAGAGGUCAAGAGGGGCCACCAGAGCCGUUCGAGCUGAAGUUACAGGCGUCUGAAAGCCUCGGGGAUGGUGCUGGGAACUGGACCUCUGGAAGAACAGCGGGUGUUUACCACUCCAGCACCCUCGAGCCCUUAACCCCCUUUCUGUAUUGUCAUUUACAUCUCCUCCUAAAAGAAAACAGCUCUUUUCCUUUACCCACCACAAAAAAACCCUAGUUCUAUAUUAUAUAUUUACUGUGUUUGAUAGAAAUAUGCAAGAUAAAGGCAUUUUUGCCCUAGCGUGCCAAGGAACUUUUAAAUAACUAGAAACACCUUACCAGAACCCCGCACACACACGCAUUCAGAUGUCCCUGGUAGAGAACACGAAGUUCUUGUCUCUAUCAAAAGAAUGGAGGACUCUACUCUCUUGCGGUUUUCCUCCUGCCUGUUUUAUAAGACCCUUUCUUUGCAUUGCCAGUGCCAAAGCCAGGGCUAGCCUGCCGUUCCCUAUGCCAGCCUGCUACCCCUGGACUAGCCUGCCACUCCUAUGCCAGCCUGCAAACCCUGGGCUAGCUACUCCUAGGUCAAGUUCUGCCACCAGCAUAACUCAUUUAUGGGGAGUUAAAGCUGGAAAGAAUUUCAUUAUCUUGGGCUUAAAUUCCGCUUAGUUCCCUCUUGUUCACCCACAUUCCAGAUCAGAUUUAAAUCCUUCCAUCCUCUACUGAACACUAAAGCUUUGUCCUUUUCAGGGGAUAAACUAAUUGCCAGGAAUCUUUAUUUCAUUGACCUGAUUUUAUCCAUUCUAAGAGCUGUACAAAUAUUUCCAUAGAUGCUCUAAGAGGCUCUUCGGCGUCCCGAUGUGCUUAUUACUUAGCCCUUCAGAGCAUUGUACCUAGAAAACUUGAAGAUGAGACACUCAAGCCGUCUUUCUUGGCAUUGAAUGCUGAUGGGCAGCCUUAGUUGAGGCUGCUUCACCUGAACAUUGCUUCUACUCGCAGUUCAAAGAAUUGUUAUCACAACCAUACUGUCAAGGCAAACAAAACAAACAAACAAACAAAUUGACCCUGGGAUAUAGGCCAUUGUUACAAGGUCAACCAGAUGUCCUAGCUUGCCCAGGGUUGGCAGGUGUAUAGCAGACAUGGGCCUUUUUUUUUUUUGAGAUAGAGUCACACUAUGUAGCUUUGGUUGGCCUAGAACUUACUAUGUAGACCAGGCUCGUCUUGACCUCACAGAGACCUACCUACCCCUGGUUCCUUAGUGAUGGGACUAAAGGUGUGCACCAGAAUGCCCAGUGACAUGGGACUUCCUAUGCUAAUACUGAGGGAGUCUCAGACAAGCAGGAUGUGUUGACCACACCAUUUCUCACCAUCUGCUUCUGCCAUAUAGCGAGGCUGUUUGUUUUCUGAGUGAGUGAGUGAGUAUGCAUUUGAAGUUGAUAAUUACUUUGCCAGUAACUAGCUCAUAUUUUACUCUUGGAUAUUCAUCCUCCUUCUCUAUGUGUACCCUAAUGUAGAUAUUUACCCCAGGAACAGGCUGGCCAUGACAGGAAGGAGAGCACCACUAUCCUUGAAGCAUCUUACCUUGCUUGAGUCAAUCAAGGAGCCUGCUGUAGAAUUCACCUGUGUUCUCUACCUGAGAUCCAGAUCAUAGCUUCUUGUAAAGAUUCUAUUCCUCCUUUCAGAAAUUGCUAAAGCCCAAAUACCUAAAAAGGUUCAGAACUCAGAAUUUUCGUGAUCCCUACAUUUUAUUUAAAUAGGGGCCAUGUCAUUCAUGCCAAAGCAACCAAUGCCAGCUUUCCAAAUGCAUCCCUCUCCUACUUAAUCCCUCCUCCUGAUACCCUGUUCACAAGCCUGAGUAUGUAUGUCAGGACUCCUCAUACCUGAAUGUGCACUUGGGAGGUAGAAGCAAGAGGAUCAGGAGCUCAGGGUCAGCCACAGCCACAUGAGCUCCUGCCUCAGAAGGGGGGAAAUCAAAAGAAACAUCUGCUACAGUGGAUGCCUUUACUCUCUGUCAAACCAAAUGCAAGGGUGGGCCGGAAGGUCCUGCUCCUACUGUAGGUUCCAUUGCUAAGUUACCCUUCUCUCCCAGUCUUCCCAAGUGCUAGCCUCUAUCUUGGAUUCCUGGUCGUCCUUAACUUUCCUUUAUUUACAGUGCUUUCUUUAAGCUUCAUUUACAAGUCUUGCCUGGGACCACAUCUACUUUUCUGGUCCUUUUCAAUAUGCAUUUGCCUGAAAAUUGCUCUGGUAUCCAGAAGCAGACACAGGCCAGCUUUCUAGGAAGCCCUAAAUUGCUAAACAUAGACCAGCGACUUGUGUUCGAUUGAUGCCAUGAAUUUAGUAGUUACCAAUUUUUAUCUUAGUCUGUUCUCAGCGUCUCUCUCCUCGCUACAGUGUGUACUCUACUUCAUACCACAAACUGCGUAUAAGCAAGACAGACAUCAACUCUGAUAAUAUGUCCUAGAGGGUAAAUAAAUAUGAUUUCCAUAUCUCCUGCCAGCAUGUCAUCGGUGAUGAUGAGGCUGAGCGUGCUCCCUUCAGCGUUUGCAUUUUGAAGCCACAGAGAAUGAAGUGGCCAGCGUGGACCCCCGUGUCUUCUGCGGUGGAGACAGCUUUCCUGUACACAGAGCCUUGGGGCAGGGAUGGCUUUGGGAUCAGAAUCUAAAGGUGGUGUAGUACCACUCAGGGGAUCUGUUCUCUAUGGUUUGCAGGGAAAUCCAUCCCUCCUCUAAACUCUGGAAAGUUUCUACUCAUGUAGAGCAUUUAUACUCUCCAGGUUUGGAUGAGGUAUACCUAGGGACAGGUUACUGCUGGGUUAAGAAGCUUUCGUUCUUGUUGUUUGUUUGUUUGUUUGUUGUUGUUGUUGUUGUUGUUGUGGCCACUGAGUCUCCUCAGAGCUCUUCAGUUACCUAUAGUGGCACCCUGCUGUGUCACAAUUAAAUCAUGGAGGUGGGAGAGUCAGGCUUGUGAAACACCCUCAAUCCCCACCCAGGUGAAGGGCUCUGGCUACUUAACUCCCGGGGAUACCCAUUCUGAAAGGUCGUGAUCUGAAACAUUUGGGGAACCAUCUAUGGCCCCCCAGGAAGGAAGCGAUUUCCUAACCACCUUGACUUCCUGUGACAUUCAAGCAACACUAAAAUGACCUUCCAGCAGCCCCUGGACUACUGUGCUCAGUCACACAAACUUGCUCGAUGAUUUCAUACUAUAUGAAAUGAAAGACUUCUAGUAAGCCUUUUAUUUAUAUGUUCAUUGCGUUUAUGUGUGUGUGUGUAUGCAUGCGUGUAUGUAUACAUGUAUGCACACAUGCAAGUGCACACAUGCCAUAGCACACACUCUUGUAAAGGUCAGAAGACAACUUACAGAAAUCAGCUCUCUUAUUCCACCAUCUCGGUUCCAGGAAUUGAACUCGGGCUGCCAGGCUUGGCAGCAAGCACCUUUACCUCCUGAGCCAUUUUGGUAUCCCCAAAUCUUUAUUUUCUUUUUAUUUGAAAUUAUCAGGCCAUAAUAGUGUGGUAUUAUGGUAUCUAUCCUUGGUAUCUAUCCGGUAAUCUACUCUUAGGAUCUGUCCACUCCAUCUACACACCUGUUACAUAAUUCACUCAGGAUGUUCCUUAAAUCUACCUUCACAGUCCAUCAGAGGUCCCUGCAUCCCCUGCGUCCCUUGGGUCCCCUGCAUCUCCUGGAUCCCCUGCAUCCCCUGCAUCCCCUGCAUCUCCUGCAUCCCCUGCUUCCCCUGCCUCUGCGCUCUCUUUCGUCACCCCCACCCCCACCCCCACUUCCUCUAUAUCUGACUCUUCUUUCCCCUGCUCCCUGCUACUGCUCUUAUCUCUGGCCCUUCCCUAAGGGAAGGAUGUAACAAUACCUCUGUGAAUGUGUCUUUUUCAUCUCCAACUGUAUUCUUUUUCUUCCGUUUGAAACAGUGUUUCACUAUGGAGCCCAGACUGCCCUAGGACUCACUAUGUGGCACAAACUGCCCUUGAACUUGAGGCAAUCCUCCUGCCCCAGGCUCCGGAGCAGCUGGGAUUGAGCUGCAGUUUUUUUCAGAGAUUUGAGAACAAAGACCGUUUUAGGGAGUCUGUGUUCCACACAGCUGUUCCUUUGCACAGAAUCAAUUCAUGCUGAUGUUCGUAGAUUUUGGAAGGAACACAAACUAUCAGCAUGAGUAAUUUCAGGCCAGGGAUAAAGGAUUCAAGGGGGAGGAGGGACCUCGGUACCAUGGCAUCUUGGAUGAAGGGCUUUGAGUGAUCUGCAGGCUAGCUUUGCUUCAGAUAGACAGGAAGGUAUUGGAGCAUGCACAGGGGUCAGUGAGGACAGGAACCAGUGUAAACAGUACUCUUGCAAUAACUGGCUUUGUCUUCCAGUCAUGCAUUUCACCGAUCCAGAUUUGUCCUGUGCCUUCAGCCAGCAUCCAGGCUAAGAAGGGUGACUGCCCUGCUGCCCUCACAGGCCCUCAUGCCCCUGUUUCCCAGUGCCGUGGCUGGUCUUUGACCAUUCCUGUAAUUCCCAAAGAUGAACUUCACACUGUUUAUAUAGCGUUUGCACCUGCCACAUAGUCUGCCCCUUGUCCGUUGUGCCCCUUGGUUUUGUUUGUUAAUGAGCUUCUAAUCCCAGUGCUCUGAUCUCCACCAUUGCUUGCUGGCCAGCUUCUGGCCAGGUCGGUCACAUGCAUGGACUGGUGACAACAGCUGUCUGAUUACACCCACGAGUCCCAUGUCUGUAGGGGAAGAAAAGGAGGUCAGAUGACAUGAAUUGCUGCUCUCCCAGAAAGGACAUUGAGCCCAUUCCUCCUGGUGGUGAGAAAGGGAAGCAUGGACCUUGACUCUAGAAGGAACGGUAUCUGUGGACACUGGAAUAGCCUGGGCACUAGAGGGAAAAGCCAGUGUCAAGAGCCUAGAACAGUUGAGAAAGAAAGGCAGAGUUGUUGGCCAUUGGCGGCAGUGUUUUCCUCUGCUUUGGGAGAGGGCUGAGCGGCAGCCAUCCUCCACAGUGGCCUCUUUCAACUGCACUGAAAGCCCCAGCUGCAGCUUUUCCAUCUCCACUUGGCGACUCCCCUGCACUGAGAGCAGCGACUGUUCUCUCAGUCUCCUCUGUAUGUGUCUCGCUUCCCAUGGGCUUUUUUGUUCAUCUUUUCACCUUUAAAAACAAGACAAAACAGGGUCCCAGUAUUCAGCCCACACUGGCCUGGCAUCUGCAGUCCUCCUGCCUCAGCCUCCCAAGCACUGUGAUGACACAGAGUCCCCCUGCCCCCACCCACCCACCCCGCCACACACACACCCAGCUCGUUUCAUUCUCUCUUCCCAGGUUUAAAGGAGUUUUCUCUAGCACUGGGUUAGCUGCUAAGCAGACCUCAAACACUUCGCCCAUCGUCUCCUUACAAAUGUUGCCAUUCUUCUGCUUUGCCAGUGCUGCAGUGCAUCACUUAGCAUUUACACAUGCUGGUGUCAGAUAAACUAGAAACGGACUUGUGGGGUCGAAAGGGACUUCUCUAGGAAAAUUUACCAGUGGCUGCCUUCCUGCCGCUCCCACCAGCACCAUGUGAAGAGGCCAGCUAUGCCCAAACACAGAGCACUGAGGACUCUGGGUCUUGUAUUUGCCAAGGGAGCGGGUGAAACAUAUUCUCUCUCUGUGGUUUUCAUUUGUACUCUUUUGAAAAGAACAUUAUAAUAAUGCAUUUAAGAGCUUCUUUUUGCAUCCCUUCCUGCUGGUAGCCUCCGGCCAAUGCCUUAAUGGUCAUUGGCCAGUUCUGAUCAUUUUCAAGAGCUCCAGAUAGAUCAGGGAAAUUAGGCCUAUGUCAUGGGAGUUGCAAAUAUUUGUUCCUGGUUUGUCCUUUGCCUUUAGACUUUACAUGUGGCAUUUGCCAUGCAGAAUUUUGUAAUGUGUGCAUAGUCAAAUUUUUCAAUAGCUUCUUUUGCACUUUGUAGACUUUCUGUUUUUCCUAGAAGGGUAAUCCUUUCUAAGAAAGAAAUCCUGUGCUGCAGAUUAUUUUUUUAUUUGAAUUUCUUUUAGAACAUGCAUGAUUUUAUUUUAUUUUAAAAUGCUUGGUCCUUCUGAUUUCCUCUUGCCAUGUGGUGCGACUCCAGCUUAUGUUGUUCUAGGUGGCUGUCCUCCUUCACCCAGCAGCGUUUAGUGAACAGCCGGCUUUUAUCUCAUUUAUUCAGGACUGUCUUUCUCUCCCCUAGACUUCCUGUACUUAGGAGCAGUCGGUGAUCCUGAGCCCACAGUGUCUGUUUAACUGUGUUUUCCUGUGGGGAUGCGGGCAGUGCCAGAAUGACCUGUCUGUUAUACUUCUUUUGCCUAAUUUUACUGGCUCUUCAGUGGGGCAUUUCCUCAAAUGAGCGUUUAAAUGCUUUGUCCCAAAUACAAAAAUCCUAUUGUUUUGCUCGUGCAUCUGUCAGUGUGCAGAUGAUUUGUGAGGAACAGCACGCUUGUGGUGCAGAUGGCUCCAGUACACACUCCUUUGCCCAGGCCCCUUGAGCCCUAGAGAGUACUCAGAGUCUGCCUUCCUAUUCUCCACCUCGUGAUGUGAACUCCCUAGGAGCAAGAAGAGAGUCAGGUUCUGCAUGGCUUCUUAAUAAUAAUCUAUAUAAUUAUUGACAAAAGAAGCAUGGUUUUUUUUUUAUUCAAUACUGUAAGAGCAUGUCUUUUGUCUAAUAUGUCAUUCUUUCAGGUUUUAUUUUUCUGUACACUGAAGGAAGGCACCAUGCAGUACCAAGUACUGAUGGCAACUAUUAAAAUUUAAUUCUUGCAAGCAUCUUUUAACUACCCCCCCCCUUAUUUCUGUUUUAUGUGUAAAAUAGAAAUAUCUUAUCUGCCUGUGUGUCAGUAUGUGCAUGUGCACCUUACAUGUGCAGUACCCCAAAAUGCCAGAAGGAGGUGCCAGAUUACUGGGACUGGAGCUACAUUCAAUUGUGAGCCACCGAGUGCAUGCUGGGAAUCGAACCUGGGUCAUCUGGAAGAGCAGCCAGUGCUUUUAGCUGCUGAGCCAUCUCUCCAGCCCCAUCUCAAAGUCAUCUUAUAAUUGAAGUGCUGGUAAAAAGAGCAGUCUGUAGAUAACCCAGCAGUUUCACGUGUAGGUGUCCCAGUUGACCCAACUCGGAAUAAUGGCAGAGGGGAUGGGACUGUCCACUUCCUAUUUCCCUCUCUUCAAAGCCUGGCACAGACGUGGUAUUGGGCUGGGAAGCAGCCAAAGGCAACACUGAAUUGCACAGAGACUGAGCCAUGCCACUUUGUGUGUGUCCUCCAGAAAGGAAGUCAUCGGAGAACAUGAGGACACAGCAAAGGUGUGCUGUGUCAGCAUGUGCCCUGUUUGGCCAGGACAGGCAGGUUAACUUUUUGUUUUGUUUUGUUUUGUUUUGUUUUGUUUUGUUUUUUCCAGAGCUGGGGACCGAACCCAGGGCCUUGCGCUUGCUAGGCAAGAGCUCUACCACUGAGCUAAAUCCCCAACCCUUUUGUUUUGUUUUUAAUCCAUAAUUUUUCAGUGAAAAGGUUUGCCAGGGUGGUGAUGUUUUCCAUGUGAAGACUGAGCACACUGAAUCUGGGGGGCCUGUUUGGCACUUGGGCAGCUGUGUACCUGGAGCUGCAAGGCUCUGCCCAAGGUUAGGCCAGCACCUGUGACUCCCGUUCAUAGGCCUGGUUCCUUAGGGGAUGGACGCCUUUUGUCCAACCCUGGAGCCUGUUAGCAACACCCCCUCUGCUGCCACCCUUAACGGUCAAAAACCAAAGAGACACAUCCAAGAGACAGAGGGGAUUGUGGGGCUCUGGAGCGAGCCAGGAAAUGCAUCUUGUGGGAUCAGAUACAUUUAACAUGUGAAUACAAUCCCAAGGGUUUGAAAGCUUUUUUUCUUUGAACUUAGUGCAGAAAAAUACAGAUGGUUUCAUUUUAAGUGGUUUAACUGUCGUUCGUGGGUCUGUUCUCCCCAACAUUCCUGCUUUAAAGCUUGCCUGUGGCACACAAGGGAUCCCACAGAUGUGCCAGCUCUGCCCAGUGACCCCUUGCUGGGCUUAGAAGCCAGUUGCAAGGACAGAUGAUGAUGUCUAUCUUGCCCUCUCUAGCUCCUCCUCUUUUCAGGUGGAAUCGUUUCUGGGUUGGAAUUUUCCUGUGCUGAAUCCAGCAAAUCCGGAAUAGAACAUUUAGCAAAGUCUGGGGAGAGGGUAAUGAGCAGCAGCUGCCAAGGUCUGCCUUCAGUGGAGCCAUGCUGCACCGGGAGCAUACUCUGAGGUCCCAGGAAUGAGUGUGAGCCAUGCUGUACCAGGAGCACUCUCUGAGGUCCCGGGGAUGAGUAUGAGCCUUGGUGCACUGGAAGCACUCUCUGAGGUCCUGGGGAGGAGUGUGAGCCUUGGUGCACCGGGAGCACUCUCUGAGGUCCUGGGGAGGAGUGUGAGCCAUGCUGUACCAGGAGCACUCUCUGAGGUCCUGGGGAGGAGUGUUUGGAAAGCUCCUCAGAGGUAGAAGGCCAAGGCAUUUGUUCUAAAACUCAGGACAGACUGUGUCCUCAUACCAGCUGUUCUGCCCUGGAGGACUGGAGAGAUGUCCCCCCAGGGCCUCCUGAAAAGAAAGGGCUUCUGGAGGCCUGUCUGUGACUCUAAAGACCUAAUAUUGACCUGGUCAGGCUGGGAAAGAGGAACCCAGAGAAGGAAUCUGGGUUUAGAUUCAACCAGAGUCCUGGGUUUCAGACUUGGGUAACUAGAAAGGGGAGACUCUGGUCUGAUAAAAAUCCCUAAGUGUGUGUGUGCCACAUACACAGAGACAGACAGACAGACAGUUCAACUUUGCCACCUCAACAAAGCAUUGUUACUGUGUGCCCCACCCCAGCCAGCAAUAAAAAAAGUGCUUCCCCAAAGCAGACACCUGCCACUUUUCUGGAAGUGCCUCUGUCUGUCUCUCCCAUUACUUUCUGAGGUCUCAUUAUCUUUGGAGAGAGACCCAGUAUGAUUUUAUUAACAUUCUGCCCUCAUUUCAAAUAUCCCCAAAUGUGAAUAUUGAAAUAAUUACCAUGCCAACUACACUGCCAUUCAAAAGACAAUUUUAGUUGUAGAAAACAUGAGACCAAAGAAAUGACUUUCUGUCGACUGCACGGGCAAACACCAAAGAGAGCCCCAGCAAACUCAAUUAGCACUUUGGAGACAUAUGGUUUCAAAAUGCAUCUUGACAGUUGAUUAAUGGCUUGUUGCUAAUUUAACUUCCAGUUGGGGGUGGGCGUGGGGUUAGUGAGUCUUAAAAGUGUAAAGUAACAGGAAAAGUCGUAGCUUAAGUCACCUGCCCGUACUCCUCCCCAUCUAUAAAACUGGACGAUAUCGCCGUUCAAAAUUGUGGGGAAGCCUAAAUUCUGAGCAUGCUUUGUCCAGGCUGUGGCAGGGUGCUCAGGCGUCCUGACUCCAGACUCCAUCUUGAACCGGUGACUCCUUACCCACAAGGCCACACGCUACAAGGCUACAUGCCGUCAUGCCUUGCUGUCUGCUUCUGGGACCCUAGUGCCCACCGUUCUUUCUCUAUGACAGCAGCUUCCUGGCACUCCUUGAGUGCCGAGCUCCGUCUCAGGCCCUGCAGGGUAGGCACUGUACCUCGCUUUCUCUGUGGGCUUUGUAGAGCCCACAUUUGUUAAGCUUUAUUGGGCUAACACAGCCAAUAAUCCUGGCUUUGACUUAGUCCCAGCCGCCGACAGUGCAUUCUUAGAUAAGGAUCCCACGUGUCACUGACCUUUAGUCAGAAUAUUUACCUCCUCUGGGGUCACCUGUUUUUUUUUUCCAGAGGCGGAAAAUUUGGUUUUCUUCACCUGAGUGUGUACACAAAGCAGAAUGGACGCCUGCUCUGAGGCAACAUUCUCUUUGGAAACCAAGUGGACAUUAGAGCUUGUUUACCCUGACAGUCCCAACCAACCCCUGACUGGAACCCUCCCUGUCUGGUGUCCCCGCUUCCAGCCAGGGAGAAAUGUCGGCAUCCCUGGAGAAUUAGAUUGUCAGGAGAGGAAUGAAAAAGCCAUGUGAGGGCUGAAGAGAUGAGUCUGCUUAAGAGAGUGUGCUGCUCUGGCUUAGGGCCCCUUUGUCGACAUGGUGGCUCACAACCAUCCAUAACUCCAGCUGGAUCCAACGGCCUCUGACGGAACUAGGUAUGCAUGGUACCCAGACAUACACGUAGGCCAAAUAUACACAUAAAGUAAAAAUAAACACGUCUUAAACGAAUAAACAACAAAGCAAUAGAUACAAUGGAGAGAUCCUUUUUCAUGAUCUCCCCUGCUCUGUGAGUCAUGUGGACUUGAGCUCUGUGGGAGAAGGAAGCCCGCGGGCCAGAGUAGAGUGACAGAGAUGUGUUUGUGGAACUGAACAAAGUCAGGGCCUGUGGUCUCUGGACACUUCCUGGGAGGGGCUGUGGUUUCAGACACUUCCUCUCAGGACCUGCCCAGAGACGCGAGGUGCUGGCACUGGUGCUGACAGUCACCUAAAAAAGAUAGCCAUCCAUUUUGCAUGCUGACCUUUCAAAUCAACCUCAAGGAUGAAUUCCAGAGGCAGCUAUGGGUGCCUGAUGGUCCUGCAGACGCUCAAUGAUGGGUGUCCCUCCUUCCACCCUUAGGCCUUUGAGAUACAGCAGGGGGGUAGAUUAAAAAUGAAUUUCUUACUUCUGAGGAAAAUCACAGUAUUAGCUGUUCCUCGAUGUGCUUUCUAGUACACUGUGUGUGUGUGUGUGUGUGUGUGUGUGUGUGUGUGUGUGUGUGUGUGUGUGUGUGUGUGUUGGGGGGUGUUUCAUGUACAUGUGACUUAAGCAAAUUCAAUUCCAUCAUGAAAGAGAAGGUUGGGGCUAUCACUCGGUGCUAGAGCGCUUCCUUCCCUGCCACCUCGGGUCCUAGGUUGUAUCCCAGGCUCUGCAAAACCAGAAAAAUGAGAGACUGCACGCCGACGGCUUCUUUCUGGGCCCUUCUGCUGGCUUCUCCUUGUAGAGGAGUGUGUCUACAUUGCAUGUGCAUUCCCUCUGGUAGUGCUGGGCCCAUGUCCUCCCCACAGAACAUCUUGUAGCUCCCUCCGAUUUAAAGACUGGUUUCUGUGUUUUCAUUUGUUGCACAACAUGAUCCCAACCUGAAGCCACAAAGCCAUCUGUGCUUAGCUCCAGAUACAGCCAUCUGUCCAGCACUGGAGAACAGUCUGGGCUGCACUUGGAGAAAGAGUGAGUCUGGUUGUGGUAGCACAUGCCUAUAACCCUAACGAUAGGGAGGCUGAGGCAGGAGGAUCGAGAUGCUAUCAGAGAGGAGAUUUCAGGAUGUUGCUGGGUUAUGACUGAUAGUUCACCUUCCAACUGGAUCCCCACGCUGCAACUGAGUGGUGAACCCUUCUUAAAUGCAGAGGGAGCACAGGCAGAGAAAACUGAAGUGAAAGUGGGAGGGAGUCACUCUGCAGUGAGUCCCCUGUCUGGGGACUUGCUGAAGACCAGAACUUGAGUGGAGCAUGUCCUUUCUCCAUGACAUGGCCAGUUCUGGCUUACAUAGCAUAGCCUCUUUUACCAGGUCCUCAGUUAGCUGUUGUCUUGGGGAGGAAGUAACUGCUCUGAUCGUCUUGUGUUUCUGAGAAGGAGAUAGCUUUAAAAAGUCUAGGAAAUGCAUGCGCUGAUUUGUUUGCUUGGGUUUUUGGUGGUGGUUGUUCUUUGUGGGGUGGUGCUGCUGUUGUUGCUGCUGCAAUGCUGGGGUGUAUACCCAGAGCCUUGCGUACGAUAGGGAAGGCCUCUGAAUUAUAGCCCAGUCUCACACGCCACUUUACAGAGGUUUUAAACUAGAGGCUGCUGACCGCGCUGACUAUGACAAACCACAUUUACACCGGUGUUUACCGCUACUGUUGUUACAGGACGAUUAGUGGACUCUCUGAAGAGAAAGUAUCCCCCCACCCCACUACCAAGUCGCCAUCCACAUAAGCACUGCACAGUGCCAGGGCCUCAGGUGAACUCUCCGUUCUACUGUUGCCGUGCAGUCUGGCCGUCCAGGCUUUUAACUCUCGGCCUCAGGGUCCCCAUGGGAAAGCAGGCAGUCCAUUUCACAAAAGUGACAUCAAAACCAAAUGAGAUCAUGCUCAAAGGGACUUUGAAAACCUGCAAGGAGCUGUAGAAAAACAAACAGCUUUACUUACAUGUUCUCUGUUCAGAGAGGAAGGUAAAUAAACACGGGGCGCUUUACAUGUUCUCUGUUCAGAGAGGAAGGUAAAUAAACGCGGGGUUAUAGAGCCAUGAAUAGCAUCUCACACAUCUCUGGCUUCCUUUGUUAAGGGGCUCUUUGUUGAGAAAAAUCCUUAAUGUGUUUUAAGUCACUAAGGGAGAGAGACCCCAGGUCUUGGUCCAGUGACGCCAUUUCUUUGAUGUUGUAAGAUUCUGGUGGUUUUUUCUUGGCGUGAGUCUUAUUCUUGCAGGUGACUAGAGUGUGAUCAGUAUUUUCCUUUAUGUGUUUCAGACUGGCCUCAAACUCACAGCAAUCCUCCUGUCCCAGCCUUCCAGGUACUGGGAUUACAUGUGCCCUGCUCAAUGAUCUUUUUUUUUUUGAUCCAUCACACAUAUUAGGACUGUAACUCCCAGUGUAGUAAGUCUCCUGUGGCUGUUAGUCCCCCACAUCUAAUUCUUAUGUUCAACUGUGGAAGUCAAAAUGUUCGUGUGAACACUAAGAUUCUUAUACCAAUUUUUAGACAACACUAAAUUGUGCCACAUGCAGUCUUAAUUGAUUCUGUUGAGGUGGUUCUUUUUUUUCCCAGUCAUAGCCGCUAUGAGAUGAAUAAGGGGCUGAUAUUUAUCCACUAUUCAUUUUUUAAAAAUAGAGACAGAGACUGAGGGUAGGAAAUAGAGUCAGAAUGGUAGGGUGUUUGACAUCAAUAGCCACAAAGGAAAGUACAUCAAGACAGGAAUGAGAGUCACUUCACACCCGUUAGGAAGGCUCAAUCUUGUUUCUUCCAAUAUUGGAGUGGAGUCCAAAACCUCACACUGCUAGACAAGGGAUCCACUACACAGUUAUACGCCCCCAACCCUUUUAUCCCACAAAACUGCUCAGACUGGUCUUGAACUUAGAUUUUAUUCUAAGGUAGGUGUGUGUGUGUGUGUGUGUGUGUGUGUGUGUGUGUGUGUGUGUGUACACAUGAGUGUAGGAGGCUACACAGACCAGAGCUGUCAGAUCCCUCUAGCCACCCAGGAAUUAAACUCAAGUCCUCUGAAAGAAUGAUGUAUGCUCUUAACCACCAAGCUGUAUCUCCAGCCCCUACAAGGUGACAUUUUUAAUGGAAUGUGACAAGUGCUGGUGAGAAGGCAGAGACAUUGAAGCCCUUGAACGUUGCUGCUAGCAAUAGAAAAUGGUGUAGCUGCUAUGGAGAACAGCUUGGUUCUCAGGCAGUUAAGCAGCGAUUCCAUUUCCAGGUACAGGCCUCAAAGAACUGAAAAGAGGCUUCAAACAGAAGCUUGUCCACAAAUGCUUACAGCAACGCAACUCAGAGCGUCAAAAGGCAUGAAUUACCCGUGCCAGUGAAUGAUGGAUGUGCAAAUGAGCGUGAUAUAGCCAGACAUCCCUCCUUGGGUUUCUUUCCCUCUCUUCCUCCCUUCCUUCCUUCCUUCCUUCCUUCCUUCCUUCCUUCCUUCCUUGGCACACUCUCAAGGCAGAUGUCUUGCACUGCCCCUGGCAUGCAUUCCUUUCUUGAUGUAGCUUACUCAGAGCCAGGUUCCAGAGACUGGAAAAAUGACUUCUCUCCCAGAGGACCUCAGUUUGGUGGUUCGUACCUACCUGUAACUCCAGCUUCAGGGUCUCUUUCUGACCUCCACAGGGACUUGAAUACACGUGGUAUACUCUCUCUCUCUCUCUCUCUCUCUCUCUCUCUCUCUCUCUCUCUCACACACACACACACACACACACACAUAUGUAAACAAAAAUUAGUAAAAAAAAAAUCCCUAUAUGAUGCGCAUCUACAAUGCCCAGAAGUACCUGCUAAUGGGCUUUUGGUUCCCUGGAAAGGACUAGCCAGGGCUUAGGGAUUAGGGGACUCAGUGUCGGGUGGUAUAUCCAGAACACAUAGAGUACAUCAGUGCAGUACACGUACUGCACAUCAAAUCCUGAUCAUUAGAGGUACAAGAGAGUCAAAGGAAAUGACAGGUACACAGUGGAGUAAUUUAAUUUACAACCAACAGACCCAGGUGACAGGGAGAAAAAUUGGUUACACCCUGGAUUAAGGCAAACAUAAGCAAUCAGUCAACUUUAUUUUUCUCAACUCUUUAAAAGUUGUAACCAUUUGCUUGCUCAAACUGCCUAAAGACUGUGUGCGUGUGUAUGGGUGCAUGUGCGUGCGUGCAGUGUGCAUGCCUGGGGGUGUGAGGGCUGGCGGGAAGAUUCAGGUUUUUCCCUCACAAUUCUUCCCAUUGGGCAAUUUUGUUAGGAAAGCCAGAUGUUGAUAUGAUAAGGACAGGCCGGCCUCUAUUUGGUGAUUGUUUCUUAGUAACGAGCCUUUAUUAAGCAUAGGCCUCAGCAGGACAGUGGACAGAGCAGCGAGUAGAAAAGGAGGAGGAAACAUUAUUCCUGCUUUGUUAGAGAUAAACAUGACCAUAUGCUCCAGUUCUUGAGCACAUGCAAAGCAGCGUAGUCAAACUGCACGCUCUGAACCACAGAGAAAGCGGCAAGGCUUCAGUGUGGGCUAUAGAGGAGAUGCGCCAUGUUCUAGAUGCAAGUCGGUGCAAAGGUGUCUGUUAACACCAAAGUGAUAUAUGUCUGAUGUUUUCAACCAAGUCUUCUCAAAGUUUCCCAGGAACUAAACAAGCCCAUCAUAUUAUUUACCUGGAAAGAAAGAAAGAAUCUGCUGGGGAAAUUUUGCAAAAGAAUAGUGAAGGUAACCAGAACUUUUAUCUCUCAAAAUAUCCCAUAAGCUGUAUUGAUUAAAACAGCCAUACUGGCAAAUGACUAGACAGACAGACGAACCCAAAUAGAGAUAGAGAAGCAUAUGUAACCGGGAUAUGUAACCGGGACCGUGGUGUAUAUUACAGGUAAUGGUGGAAGUCAGUCCGGAUGAGUGGAGCAUUUAUUAUUGUCCAAGAAUAACAACCUCAUCUGUUAGGAGGAGAUGAGCUGCGUCUUCAUACCACUUAGAGAAAUAAGUGCAUUUAAGGGAAAUAAGUGCAUUUAAGGGGAAUACGGUUCUUUAAAAACUAACUGUAGGAAUAAGAGGGAAUAGCUGGUAUAAAAAAUAUGUAAAAGUCAAAUUAAACUUUCCUGGGCAUCACGAUACAAACCUGCUGUCCUAGCACUCAAGAGGCUGAGGAAGGAGGAUUGCCAGUUCGGGGCCAGCCUGGGCUAUGUAUUGAGUCCCUGUCUCAAAAACCAAUGAAAAAUGUGAACUUAAACAUACAGUAAUAUAAUAAGAAAACAAUUCUAACAUACAAAUGAUAAUGUUUAAUAUAGCGCUAAUAAAAAUACAAAUUAACAGGGAAAAGUAAAAAUAUAAUAGAAAAUAAACAGCAUAAACAGAAUUCACAGAAGAAAAUAAAUGCAAAUAGUAGGAAACAUGAGUCAGGAAAACACAAAUUGAAAUGAGAAACACUUUUAUGCACCUCCAUGCACACCUGUGGGGGUCAGAGGGCAACUUGCAGUAGCCAUGUAUGUCCUGGGGAUUGAAGUGGGGUCAUCAGGCUUGGCAAAAUAAAAAGCCUUUAACCUCCAAGCCCACUUGGCAUCCCGAUGAACAUUUUUUUUCCGAUGAACAUUUUUUAAAAGCAUAAAUGGAUCAGCCUUAAACAUAUUGAAAUAAGGUGCCCAUUAAAGUGGCCAGAAUGUAAAAGAUUAAUGCCAACUAUUGAUGAGGGUAAAGAAGCCAAACAAGUGCUCUCGUGUAUUAGUGGUAGGGAUAUAAAUUGAUCCAUCGUCUUCGGAAGGCAAUUUGGCUUUAUCCAUAGAAUUGAAACUGCAUUUAUCCUCAAGGUGUGCCUCGUACUUCUCACCUGCUGGGCAGUCGGGCUUCCAGGGACCAACACACAGCCUACCCAGGCUCAAGAGACAGGCUAGGGCUGUCCUCCACUACACUCUGCCCACCCAACCCGUCCCGGACUGGCCGAGGUCUGAGAAUGACCUUCAGACACAGGGUCAAGUGAGCUGAUGAUUACUAUGUUUUCAGACAACCAGUGGUGGUGAUGGAAUAAUCAUCUCUCACAGACUGUGUCAGCAGCGUUUGUGUGCGUUGUCCAGAUAAACUCCAAAGUAUUUUAUCCUUCAGGUCUGUAUUUCUCCCUUAACUUGGGCCAUUCUGAACACUGUUUUUGAUUUUUUUCCUUGUAGUUUUUUGAUAAGUUAUAUAAAUACUUUUUAAUGCAGUUAGAAACCCACUACACUAAACUUACUUCAAAAUCACAUCGUUGUAAGUCCUGCUGCGUGUUAUUGUGAAGUUAAUUAAAAAUGGUGUUUUAUCAGUAGGUGGCAUUGUCAUACAAUUAAAGAUUGUGAGACUUAUGCUGUGCACAGUUGACCUCACACUGUGAGUCUAAGACAGUUGAGCACGCGCGUGUGAGUGCACACACACACACACUUUGAAGAUUUUAUUCUACCAGCUCUAAGAAUGUCUGACUCCAAAUGCCAAUCAGAUGAGAGCUAGACUCCUGUUGUCAUGAUGCAUACUAUCUUUUAAAGAUAUUUUAAAACCUGAGAUUUACUAAGUGGGUUGUUUCUGCUGUCUCAGCAAAUUCUCUCUUGGUGCUUAAUGUGGGUGCCAGGGCAUAGACCUUCAGGUAAAUGUAGUAGUUGUGCCUAGAUAGAACCUCCUAACUCAUGGAGCUCCCUGGGUGCUAGGUCAGAGCAGUGCACAGGAAUGGGACAGUGACCCAGUAGCCAACCUGAUAGGGAGCGACUCCCAAAGACAAGAAAGGCCCAGGGGCCGGGAGGGACUAGUAUGGCAAGCUAGGCAUCUGGAAUAGACACUGUCCCCCGGAGUAUCCAUUUGAGAUGAAGCUGAGAUACUGGGUUAGUUCUGGAGCUUAUGCAGAGUUAGGGAAGCACAGGGCGUAACCAACUCUAGGCCAAGCUGCAGACCUGUGCACCGGAGAGCUGCAGACCUGUGCACCGGAGAGCUGCAGACCUGUGCACCGGAGAGCUGCAGACCUGUGCACCGGAGAGCUGCAGACCUGUGCACCGGAGAGCUGCAGACCUGUGCACCGGAGAGCUGCAGACCUGUGCAUCGGAGAGCUGCAGACCUGUGCACCGGAGAGCUGCAGACCUGUGCACCGGAGAGCUGCAGACCUGUGCAUCGGAGAGCUGCAACCAGAUUUGUGUGUUGAGAUUCUCUCUCCAUUGGCAAGGCGGACAACUGAACAGUGCAGCGGGUGGGGAACAGGACGAGCAGUUAGGAGGCCACCAGGAUAGGGGAGCUAAGAUUCAGAGGAGGCCAUGCGUCAUGGGGAUGGGAGGUUGUGUGUGUGUGUGUGUGUGUGUGUGUGUGUGUGUGUGUGUGUGAUCAUUAAA